UACAGGGGGUGCAAACGUUGCUCGGAAUCAUUGGGCGUAAAGCGCACGUAGGCGGUCUGUUAUGUCGGAUGUGAAAGCCCUUGGCUCAACUGAGGAAGUGCAUCCGAAACUGGCAGGCUAGAGUACUAAAGAGGAUCGCGGAAUUCCCGGUGUAGAGGUGAAAUUCGUAGAUAUCGGGAGGAACACCGGUGGCGAAGGCGGCGAUCUGGGUAGAUACUGACGCUGAGGUGCGAAAGCUAGGGGAGCGAACGGG
rnacentral:rRNA from 1 species